rnacentral:misc_RNA from 1 species
CCGAGUUUCCCGACUCCAAAACCCCCGCGAACAUACCCGUACGUUGCUUCGGCGGAUCGCCCCGGCGCCCUCGCGGCCCGGACCCAGGCGCCCGCCGGGGGACCCAAACUCACGAUUGAACCUGCGGCACGCUCCGAGUCACGCGACAGAAAAUGAAUCA